rnacentral:rRNA from 1 species
UGGAUGAGUGGCGAACGGGUGAGUAACACGUGAGUAACCUUCCCUUGACUCUGGGAUAAGCCCGGGAAACUGGGUCUAAUACCGGAUAUGACCUCCUGUCGCAUGGUGGGGGGUGGAAAGAUUUAUCGGUCUUGGAUGGACUCGCGGCCUAUCAGCUUGUUGGUGAGGUAAUGGCUCACCAAGGCGACGACGGGUAGCCGGCCUGAGAGGGUGACCGGCCACACUGGGACUGAGACACGGCCCAGACUCCUACGGGAGGCAGCAGUGGGGAAUAUUGCACAAUGGGCGCAAGCCUGAUGCAGCGACGCCGCGUGAGGGAUGACGGCCUUCGGGUUGUAAACCUCUUUCAGUAGGGAAGAAGCCUUCGGGUGACGGUACCUGCAGAAGAAGCGCCGGCUAACUACGUGCCAGCAGCCGCGGUAAUACGUAGGGCGCGAGCGUUAUCCGGAAUUAUUGGGCGUAAAGAGCUCGUAGGCGGUUUGUCGCGUCUGCCGUGAAAGUCCGGGGCUUAACCCCGGAUCUGCGGUGGGUACGGGCAGACUAGAGUGCAGUAGGGGAGACCGGAAUUCCUGGUGUAGCGGUGAAAUGCGCAGAUAUCAGGAGGAACACCGAUGGCGAAGGCAGGUCUCUGGGCUGUUACUGACGCUGAGGAGCGAAAGCAUGGGGAGCGAACAGGAUUAGAUACCCUGGUAGUCCAUGCCGUAAACGUUGGGCACUAGGUGUGGGGGAC